rnacentral:lncRNA from 1 species
CGGCAUUGCUUAGGCUGCUCCCACAGCCGUGUUGCCACACAGGCUUGCACAGCGCAGGCUCGGAGUCAUCAGGGACGCUGAGCCCACGGCGGUGGGCACCUCUGGCAGGAAGGUUCGCUGCCUUUGAGGCAACACCACAAAGGCACUGGAGUGAAGAGCUGUUGCUGCCCAGCCCCGAAUGCAGGCCUGGCCCCUUCAGCGGCCCUAUACAAAAACUCCUCUCUCGAACCCAGCCAGCCUGUCUGCCCGUGGCUGACCUAACCCCUGGGAGGUAGGUAGGUGGUUGAGAACCCCCAUAAGCCCCAGAGUCCAUGGCAGGGACACCAAAUGGGACUGGAGCCCCCAAAUCUGCUUUCCUCCCAGGAGACUAGACUUUCAAAGGCCAGGAUAUGCCCAGGCUGGUCCCAGCAGCUGCUCACGGGCAAGCUGGGCAAGCCCUGGGGUCAGUGCCCACCCAGAGCUGUCCGGCGGCGGGGGCUGGCACUGCUUUGCUCCGGGUGCCAAAGAGGAGCGAGAGGCCUGUGAUGAGGCUCUGUGCCAGUUCUAAGAGCCUGGUCGCAGCCACUGUUAGCUGGUCAACAAGGGACCUUGAUUUGAUGGCCCCUUGGACAUGCUGGAGCAGGCUGGUGAGGGGGUACUGGCCCCUCCCCUCUGGCAGCCCUGCCUGUUCACAGCUCACUUCAAGACCUCCCAGACUGCAGAAGGAGGCCGAGACCCGGGCUGAAGGUGCCAGUGGGGGUCAGAGCUGGAAGACAGCCCUCCCCAGGUGCUCGUCCACUGGGGCGGGCGUGUGGAACAACACAGCCAGGCCACCUACCUCCCGGCCUCCCGGCCCGCAGGGCUGACUGCUGACACGGUCUUCAAAGCCACACCGGGGCCCAGAAGCUCAGGCUUCUGCUGUUAGAGGCCUUCUCAUCCAUCCCUUCUGUCUUAUGGAUGAACCUCCCCAGCCAACUGAGGCUCGGGGGUGCCGGGCAAUGGGUGACCUGGCUGGUCCCACCCUGGGGUGAGGGAGAGAAGUGUCCCCAGGAGACUCUCAUCUUCCCUCCCCUUUCCCAUCGGCUUCUUUCUCUGCUUGGGGCCCCACCUCUGGGCCCUGUCCCCUUCUCCGGGAGCCCCCAGAGGGGGACACUGGAGACC